rnacentral:rRNA from 1 species
AGCUCCAAUAGCGUAUACCAAUUUUGUUGCGGUUAAAAAGCUCGUAGUUGGAUCUCGGCGAGUUGGGGGCGGUCCACUGCUUAGUGCGACUGCUCCAUGUACUCGUGUUCUUGGCGGAGGUUCCCGGGUGCUCUUAAUCGAGUGUCCUGGAGCGCCGUCAGGUUUACUGUGAAAAAAUUAGAGUGUUCAAAGCAGGCUUAUGCCGUUGAAUAUAUUAGCAUGGAAUAAUGAUAUAGGACCUUGGUACUAUUUUGUUGGUUUGCGCACUAAGGUAAUGAUUAAGAGGGACAGUUGGGGGUAUUUGUAUUCCAUUGUCAGAGGUGAAAUUCUUAGAUUUUUGGAAGACAAACUACUGCGAAAGCAUUUACCAAGGAUGUUG